rnacentral:rRNA from 1 species
AUACUCCCGAGAGACCGAUAGCGAACCAGUACUGUGAAGGAAAGGUGAAAAGCACUUCGAAUAGAAGAGUGAAAUAGUCCCUGAAACCAUGCGCCUACAAGCGGUCGGAGCAGCUUAAGCUGUGACGGCGUGCCUUUUGCAUAAUGAACCUACGAGUUACUUUUUCCGGCAAGGUUAAGCAUCUUGAGAUGUGGAUCCGAAGCGAAAGCGAGUCUGAACAGGGCGGAUAGUCGGAAGGAGUAGACGCGAAACCAAGUGAUCUACCCUUGGGCAGGUUGAAGGUUAGGUAACACUAACUGGAGGACCGAACCGAUAAGCGUUGAAAAGCUUCCGGAUGACCUGAGGGUGGGGGUGAAAGGCUAAUCAAACUUGGAGAUAGCUCGUACUCCCCGAAAUGCAUUUAGGUGCAGCCUUGUGAGUUACUAAUGUGAGGUAGAGCGACUGAUAAGAUGCGAGGGCUUCACCGCCUAUCAAGUCUUGACAAACUCCGAAUGCGUGUCAGUUCUAUGUCAGGAGUGAGGGCAUGGGUGCUAAGGUCCAUGUCCUAAAGGAGAACAAUCCGGACCAACAGCUAAGGUCCCGAAAUGAAUACUAAGUUGAACUAACGAAGUCAGAUUGCUAAGACAGCUAGGAUGUUGGCUUGGAAGCAGCCAUUCAUUUAAAGAGUGCGUAACAGCUCACUAGUCGAGGAGUCUGGCGUGGAUAAUAAUCGGGUAUUAAGUUGUCUACCGAAGCAGUGGGAUCAUUGAAAUGAUCGGUAGGGGAGCAUUCCAGUCAGCGUCGAAGGCGUACCGCGAGGUAUUCUGGAGCGUCUGGAAAAGCAAAUGUAGGUAUAAGUAACGAUAAAGGGGGCGGGAAACCCCCUCGCCGAAAGACUAAGGUUUCCUGAUCAACGCUAAUCGGAUCAGGGUAAGUCGGGUCCUAAGGCUCAGCCGAAGGGCGAUGCCGAUGGCAGAAACGGUUAAUAUUCCGUUACUACCUCCAGGAGUGAUGUGGAGACGCAGUAGUGACAAUGCCGCCAUCUGACGGAAUAGAUGGUUGAAGGGUGUAGAUGUUGAUCUUGGCAGGCAAAUCCACCAUGAGAAUCGAACCUGAUAGUAUGCCGCGUCCCUCGGGACAAGGCAAUAGUGCAUGUAAUCAUGCUGCCAAGAAAAUCCGCUAAACUAAAUCCUGUAGGUACCCGUACCGUAAACGGACACACGUAGUCGGGAUGAAUAUUCUAAGGCGCUUGAGUGAUUCACGGUUAAGGAACUAGGCAAACUGACCCUGUAACUUCGGGAUAAAGGGUCCCUACCCGGUGACGGGAGGGCGCAGAGAAUAGGUCCAGGCAACUGUUUAACAAAAACACAGGGCUGUGCAAAAUUGAAAGAUCACGUAUACAGCCUGACACCUGCCCGGUGCUGGAAGGUUAAGAGGAGAUGUCAUCGCAAGAGAAGCAUUGAAUUGAAGCCCCAGUAAACGGCGGCCGUAACUAUAACGGUCCUAAGGUAGCGAAAUUCCUUGUCGGGUAAGUUCCGACCUGCACGAAUGGUGUAAUGAUCUGGACACUGUCUCAACCGUGAGCUCAGUGAAAUUGUAGUAUCGGUGAAGAUGCCGAUUACCCGCGAUGGGACGAAAAGACCCCGUGAACCUUUACUAUAGCUUAACAUUGAAUUUGGGUAAUUGAUGUGUAGGAUAGGCCGGAGACUUUGAAGCGGGCACGCCAGUGUUUGUGGAGUCGCUGUUGAAAUACGGCCCUUUGGUUAUUUGAGUUCUAACUCGCUGAUGCGAGGACACUGUUUGGUGGGUAGUUUGACUGGGGUGGUCGCCUCCAAAAGCGUAACGGAGGCUUCUAAAGGUGCCCUCACGCCGAUUGGUAACCGGCGGUAGAGUGUAAUGGCAUAAGGGCGCUUGACUGGGAGACUUACAAGUCGAUCAGGUAGGAAACUAGAGCAUAGUGAUCCGGUGUUUCCGUAUGGAAGGGACAUCGCUCAAAGGAUAAAAGGUACUCCGGGGAUAACAGGCUGAUCCCUCCCAAGAGCUCAUAUCGACGGAGGGGUUUGGCACCUCGAUGUCGGCUCGUCACAUCCUGGGGCUGGAGAAGGUCCCAAGGGUUGGGCUGUUCGCCCAUUAAAGUGGCACGCGAGCUGGGUUCAGAACGUCGUGAGACAGUUCGGUCUCUAUCUAUCGUGGGCGUAUGAAAUUUGCGUGGCUCUGACACUAGUACGAGAGGACCGUGUUGGAC